GACUUGCAGCCGAUUAGCC
rnacentral:piRNA from 1 species